rnacentral:rRNA from 1 species
GGGAGGAAGGUAGUGUAGUUAACACCUGCAUUAUUUGACGUUACCUACAGAAGAAGCACCGGCUAACUCCGUGCCAGCAGCCGCGGUAAUACGGAGGGUGCGAGCGUUAAUCGGAAUUACUGGGCGUAAAGCGCAUGCAGGCGGCCUGUUAAGUCAGAUGUGAAAGCCCGGGGCGUUAACCUCGGAAUUGCAUUUGAAACUGGCAGGCUAGAGUCUUGUAGAGGGGGGGUAGGAAUUUCAGGUGUAGCGGUGAAAUGCGUAGAGAUCUGAAGGAAUACCAGUGGCGAAGGCGGCCCCCUGGACAAAGACUGACGCUCAGAUGCGAAAGCGUGGGGAGCAAACAGGAUUAGAUACCCUGGUAG